rnacentral:lncRNA from 1 species
CGCGAUGGAGAACCGGUACCGGUUGGUGAGCACGGAGCAGGUACUGAUACUGUGGACCAUUGGCUAGUUGAGACAGUACUGCCGGUCCACCACAGACCACACCCCCAUGUGAUCGAGCGACCAGUGCCUUCGUUAGCUCACAAUGCAAGGUCCGUACUUUUUUUUUAAAAAAACGUAAAAGGACAAUUGUGGGUACCCUGCAGUCUGCACUAAGCACACAAAUAAAAAAACUUGAGAACAACAAAAUAGAGGUGCGAUGUGCCCAAUGUGGAGAGCUACUGGACAGGGCAGCUACAAUCCCAAAAAAAUAACUGGAUGCAGCGCCGAGAAGGCCCUCCACCAAAAUAACAAAUGUGAGACUAGAAAGAACCCAAGUGACAAAAGAAAUGAGCAAGACAUCUCUGCAAAAAUAAGCUAUCAAUCAAAUGCACACAAACUAAGAACUCUGCACGCCAACACUUGAAUGAGGUUGCUGUAAUCUAUCAGAAUAAGCGAGCCCAUACUAUAGGAUGAAUCAAUGGCAUGUAGAGUAAGGGGCUACAGAUGUUUGGCGAGCCGUAGUAGUUACAGGCAUCAAUCAAUAAGCUAUGCUCUAGCAACUGUGGAUAGGGUAGGAGUAGGACUAUUUGUUAAUUCAGUAAUUAUAAUAAAUUGGUCAUGCACUCCACUCUAUGCCCUAGCAACUUUGUGGAUGGGGUAGGACUAUUUGUUAAAUCAGUAAUUAUAAUGAAUUGGGCAACCAUACUGUAGCACAGUUGCUAGACAACAAUAAAUGCAAGGACUAGACAACAAUAAAUGCAGUCUUAAUUCUGAACACAGAACCCCCACCCCCGCCCCACAUACGUACACUAGUAUUACAGAACAAAAAGUCUAAGGGGGUGCUUGGGAACAAAGUUUUUCUGCAGUUUUGGAAGAAUACUACAGUAUUCUCAAAUACUG